CCCUUAGAUGUUCUGGGCUGCACACGUGCUACACUGGCAGGUUCAGCGAGCUUCAUGCCCUGAUCUGAAAGGAAUGGGAAAUCUUUUCAAAACCUGCCGUGCUUGGGAUAGAUGUUUGCAAUUAUUCAUCUUCAACGAGGAUUGCCUUGUAAGCGCACGUCAUCAGCGUGCAUUGAAUACGACCCUGUAUUCUGUACACACCGCCCGUCGCUCCUACCGAUUGAAGUUUUCGGUGAGUUGACAGGAGGAUUUUUUUGAAACUGGUUCGCCAGUGGAUUUUAGAUCCAAAUGCCAACGAAUCGAUGGCUUUAGAGGAAGGAGAAGUCAUAACA
rnacentral:rRNA from 1 species